AGAGUUUGAUCCUGGCUCAGGAUGAACGCUAGCUACAGGCUUAACACAUGCAAGUCGAGGGGAAACGACAUCGAAAGCUUGCUUUUGAUGGGCGUCGACCGGCGCACGGGUGAGUAACGCGUAUCCAACCUGCCCACCACUUGGGGAUAACCUUGCGAAAGUAAGACUAAUACCCAAUGACGUCUCUAGAAGACAUCUGAAAGAGAUUAAAGAUUUAUCGGUGAUGGAUGGGGAUGCGUCUGAUUAGCUUGUUGGCGGGGUAACGGCCCACCAAGGCUACGAUCAGUAGGGGUUCUGAGAGGAAGGUCCCCCACAUUGGAACUGGAGACACGGUCCAAAACUCCUAACGGGGAGGGA
rnacentral:rRNA from 1 species